AAUAAAAUGGCCGAGGGAUAAGCGAUAAAUUGUAAAUUUAUUAACGAGAAAUUUCUCUUUUAUUA
rnacentral:tRNA from 1 species